CCCUUAGGUGUUCUGGGCCGCACGCGCGCUACACUGACGAAUGCAACGAGCUUAUAACCUUGGCCGAAAGGUCUGGGUAAUCUCCAAAUUUCGUCGUGAUGGGGAUAGAUUAUUGCAAUUAUUAAUCUUCAACGAGGAAUGCCUAGUAAGCGCAAGUCAUCAGCUUGCGUUGAUUACGUCCCUGCCCUUUGUACACACCGCCCGUCGCUCCUACCGAUUGAAUGGUCCGGUGAAGCGUUCGGACCGUGGCCUUUGGACGGUUCGCCGUCUGUUGGCUGCGGGAAGUUCGUUAAACCUUAUCAUUUAGAGGAAGGAGAAGUCGUANCA
rnacentral:rRNA from 1 species